rnacentral:lncRNA from 1 species
CUUUGGUUUAUUGUGCAGAGAAUGGAUCCAAGAGGCAAGGGUGGAACUGGUGAGACUAGUUGGGAGUUUUGCAGAAAUCCAGGUGAGUUUCUGGGGACUAGGAGUCAGGUGGGGGCUGUAGUGGGAGAAAGUGGAGACAUCCACUUUCAGGUGGCAUCUGUGAGGCUCAGGAGAGUGGCUCUGUGUUCUGUGGCAGGUGGGAGGGAGGGUCAGGGAGGACCACCAGCCUUCUGCCCUGAGCCAUUGGACAGACUGGGAAGGGCCCCUUGGAUGUUGAACGUUCAUUUUGAGCUUUGUCUGUGUGGACGUGUCCUUCUGCUGGGCCAGGUGGAAGUUUCGUCUUCCUGUCUCAGCUGAUGGGCAGAUCCCAACCCUUUACAGAGACAGAUUUUUCUAAGCUUGUCUAGAAGCCAGGCAAGAGUGGGAUGGCACACUUCAUUGCUCUCCUGGAAGAGCAGGCAGAUAAAGGAGGCAGGAAGCCAGUGCAGCGUUAGGGGGUUGGAGGGGAGGGGCUGGGAGGACGUCUGGCCACCCUGUCACUUUCUUUGCAAGACCCCUGAAUCGUUGCCUCCUUUGUCCAGGGCCUCUAGUCCUGGGAUAACUGAAGGAAGAAUCGUAGUCCAAGAACCAUCAAGGGCAGACAACCUCUCAGCCCUGGGGACAUCCUAGCAUCCUAGUUUUGAAAAUUUCUUGAAGAUUUUCAUUCCAUUGACCUAUGUGGACUAGAAGCAUAUAGGAGUCUCAUUUUCAAUUUAUUAACUUAUUUUCCACAAACUAUAAUAACUAUAAAAAUUUUUUUUUGGAAGGAAACAUAUUCAUGAGUCUAUGACCCAAGAACAAUGAUAUCUUUUUAAAAAAUAUUUUGCAUAUAACCUUCUAGUCCUUAAUACAUUAAUCCAGUUCACCAAAUUCUAAUGAAGUACUCAGGACAUACCAGGCCUUGUUCUCAGAACCAGGGAUACAGACAAUAGCAAAAUGGACCAAAGUCAACAAACAUGCAUAUUUCAAAUAGUUAAGCAUACAAUAUGCCAUUUUAAUCUUUAGGAAUUUUAAAUGGUAUUUACAUUUUUCUAAAUUACUUAAUGCCCACAUGGUAUGCUAACAUGUUAAGAAAAGAAUUUAUUAAAAUAUUCACCAGUUGGGACCACUGUCUCUGCCAACAGACCCUGGGAAUGAUUCUCACCACUGCAUCCCCAGCCGCCGGUACCAUGCCCAACGGACAGAAGCAAAUAUUCAGUAAAUAUUAGCCGAAAUGGCACUUUGUUUCUAGUUUGGGAAUAGCACUAACACAGCAACAAUCAUCUGUGUACCUAGAGGCUUCUGUUGAAUGAUUCCCGAAGACAGAUCUUUUCAAACUUGCUCAUCAAAGUUCUCACGGCAGCAAUAGAAAUUGAACACUUGGGGGCAGGCAUGAGGGGGGGCUGUCAAUGGUGGCUACAAAAUACACAAGUAUUUAAAUAUAAUUAAAA